rnacentral:rRNA from 1 species
CUCGCCUUUAGUUGCCAUCAUGUUUGGGUGGGCACUCUAAAGGAACUGCCGGUGACAAGCCGGAGGAAGGUGGGGAUGACGUCAAGUCCUCAUGGCCCUUAUGUCCUGGGCUACACACGUGCUACAAUGGCGGUGACAGAGGGAAGCUAGGUCGCGAGGCCAAGCCGAUCCCUAAAAGCCGUCUCAGUUUAGAUUGCACUCUGCAACUCGAGUGCAUGAAGGUGGAAUCGCUAGUAAUCGCGGAUCAGCAUGCCGCGGUGAAUACGUUCCCGGGACUU